CUUGACUGCCCGCCUUGGCUCCUCCCAGUCAUCUCUCCUCGCUCUCGCAUUCGCCAAAUCUCCAGCCAGCCCUGCCUCCUCGGACAAGCAGGAGCCAACCAAUGGAGAAUACUGCCACAAGAAAAGGAUGAGACACCUAGUCUUCUGUCCCCACCCAGGCAACUCCCAAGCUUCUCCCUUAAAAGGCACUAGCACGAGGCCCUGCCACAGAUUUGGGAGGUGAUACAGGAGAAGAAGGAAGAGGAAUGGGAGACCAAAGGACACUGACCUGCCUUCUGGAGAAAAAAGUGACAGGCUUUCCCUCCCAUUCAACCCAGAUUAAAGUUGCUCCCUUAGGAAAAGGUUCCCUGGCCUUCUCCUGUCCAGAAUCAGACUUUUACUCCAUCUUCACUCAUCAAUCCCUCGGUGCUGCCUUUCUGUAUUCCCUCUCUCCCUUUCUGCCUCCUCUUUAGAUUUUAAGCUCUUCAAGAAAACGAAUGGUCUCUUGUCUGCAUUGUCAUCCCCAGCUGAGUACAAAUUCUCCUGGACCAUCUGGAAACUUCAUAAAGCUAAGGUGGUUUUUUGAGUCCCCAAUCUGAUUACUACAAAAUGAAUCAGCUAGUGAACUCCAAGACAUUGUCUCUGAACCUCUACUUUGCAUUGAUUUCACUUUCCCCUAUAUUAUUUUCAUAUUUGGUUCAUUUGUCCUUCUUCCUCAGUAGACUAUAAAUUAAUUUAGAACUGGGCCUGUGCCAUGAUUAUCUUAGUAACCCUGAUGCCCUACUGUGCUUUGCACAUAGAACUUUUUAAAUGUUUUUUAAUUUGAAUCCAUAUCUUUCUCCAGUCAAUGAGCUCCAUAAGGGACCUAUAUGUUUUUUAUCUUUGUGUUUUUAUCUACUGCAAAAAGCAGACCUUCACAUCUAUGUUCAAUAGAACCUCGGAGUUAGAAGAGACUUAAGAACAUCUCACUGAAGAAUAAUGGUUCAUAUUUCUAAAGCAAUUUAAGAUUUCUGCUACAUUGUCAACAACCGUCUAUGAGAAGGUAAUGCCAGGAUUAUCAUUCUAUUUUGCAUAUAAGGAAACUGUGAACCAGAAAAAUGAAAUAACAUGACCAAGCUCAAGGAUAUGAACACAGAAGUCUCUUGAUUCCCAGUUACGUACAUUUUUUUCACACAUAUUUUCCCCUCUUUCUCCUCAUCCCUUCCCUUAG